UUUCCGUGGGUGAACCUGCGGAGGGAUCAUUGUC
rnacentral:rRNA from 1 species